UUAUUUUGGCUCUAAUAACCAGUCACAUGAACCAUAUGCCAGCGGGAGCAAUAGCAGUGGUUGAUUUUGGUAAAUGUACCCAGUUCCAGCUGAUGACAGGGGGAGGGCAACAACGUGCCAGCAACCGCGGUUAUACGUUGUCCCCGGUUAUUUUUAAAUAAGGCAGAGGCAAAAUUAGGAGUCCUAACGCGCUCAUGCCGUGCCCCCGCCACCCGAAAACUGAAUGGAAGACGGGGAUUAGAGACCCCCCUAUUCACAGAAGUAAACACAUUAUUUGGUUCUCUAAAAAAUUUGGCGGUUUUCUUUGACCAGGGGAGCUUGUUCCGUUAACGAUAACCCCCGUUUUACCCCCCGUAGAGUGAGUAUACCUCCGUCUAGUCGCCCUCGAAGAGAGGCGGCGUAACCGUUAGGCUAACGACAGGUCUAGGUGCUACACACCGGGGUUGGAAGUGAGCUACUGUUUUGAAUGUUUGUAUUUAGCGAACUGAAAAAGUACUUGGUAGUAAAGACUUAUGGCUUGAAAAAUAAAAAGAAAAUGCACACAUCGCCCGUCGAUCCUGUUUUGAAACAUGAAAAGUCGUAACAAAGUAGCGCUACUAGAAAGUGGUGCUGUCUGGGUUUUUGACAUUGCAAAUGUCACUCUCCCCCCCUAG
rnacentral:rRNA from 1 species